rnacentral:rRNA from 1 species
UACGUAGGAUGCAAGCGUUGUCCGGAAUUAUUGGGCGUAAAGAGCGCGCAGGCGGUAACUCAAGUCAGAUGUGAAAUAUCCGGGCUUAACCCGGAGGGGUCAUUUGAAACUGAGUAACUAGAGUACAGCAGAGGAUAGCGGAAUUCCCGGUGUAGUGGUGAAAUGCGUAGAUAUCGGGAGGAACACCAGUGGCGAAGGCGGCUCUCUGGGUCUGUCCUGACGCUCAGGCGCGAAAGCUAGGGGGAGCAAACAGG